AGAGAGAGAGAGAGAUGAAGUACGUGCUGGUGACGGGGGGAGUGGUGAGCGGGCUGGGGAAAGGGGUAACGGCCAGCAGCAUCGGCGUCAUCCUCAAGGCCUGCGGCCUCCGCGUCACCUCCAUAAAAAUCGAUCCUUAUCUGAACACUGAUGCUGGGACGAUGUCUCCGUUUGAGCAUGGGGAAGUCUUUGUCCUAGAUGAUGGUGGUGAGGUGGACUUGGAUCUAGGAAACUACGAACGGUUCCUUGAUAUCAGAUUAACCCGUGACAACAAUAUCACAACCGGAAAAAUCUACCAGUCUGUGAUUGACAGAGAGAGGAGGGGAGACUAUCUGGGGAAAACAGUCCAGGUUGUGCCACAUAUCACAGAUGCUAUACAAGAGUGGAUUGAACGCGUAGCAAUGAUACCUGUGGAUGGUAAAGAAGGACCAGCUGAUGUUUGUGUUAUAGAAUUGGGUGGAACUAUAGGGGAUAUUGAAUCGAUGCCAUUUAUAGAAGCUUUGGGUCAAUUUUCUUGCCGUGUAGGACCUGGUAAUUUCUGUCUGGUUCAUGUUAGUCUUGUGCCAGUUCUUAAAGCAGUUGGGGAGCCGAAAACUAAGCCAACCCAACACAGUGUCAGGGGAUUACGAGGACUUGGGCUCAUUCCAAAUCUUCUAGCCUGCCGCAGCGAUAAGCCGUUGGAUGUAAAUGUUAAAGAAAAACUUUCACAGUUUUGCCAUGUUCCGGUAGCAAAUAUCAUUACUCUUCAUGAUGUUACAAACAUUUGGCACAUUCCUUUGUUGUUGAGGGAACAAAAGGCACAUGAAUCUCUUCUGAAGCUAUUGAACCUUCGAGGAUGUGCUAAAGAACCCAUGCUGGGAGAAUGGAUGGGUCGAGCUAAACUCUGUGAUACAUUGCAUGAUCCUGUCAGGAUUGCUAUGGUAGGAAAAUAUACUGGUCUUCCUGACUCUUACCUCUCUGUAUUGAAGGCCCUUUUGCAUGCUUCGGUUGUGUGUCGAAAAAAACUUGUUAUUGACUGGGUCCCAUCAUCUGAUCUUGAAGAAACUACUGCAAAAGAGGCACCUGAUGCUUACAGAGCAGCAUGGAUGCUAUUGAAGGGUGCAGACGGCAUUCUAGUCCCAGGAGGUUUUGGAGACAGAGGGGUACAGGGAAAAAUUCUAGCUGCAAAAUAUGCCCGUGAAAAUAAUGUUCCGUACCUCGGAAUUUGUCUUGGAAUGCAGAUUUCUGUCAUUGAAUUUGCUCGAUCUGUUAUGAAUAUGAAGGAGGCAAAUAGUACAGAGUUUGAUCCGGUUACAACUUCUCCAGUUGUUAUUUUUAUGCCAGAGGGUUCCAAAACUCACAUGGGAGGUACAAUGAGACUUGGAUUAAGAAGGACUUAUUUUGAGGUUGCUGAUUGCAAAUCUGCAAAGUUGUAUGGCAACGUCCGCUUUGUGGAUGAACGGCAUCGGCAUAGAUAUGAGGUAAAUCCUACUAUGGUUGCGGAAUUUGAAAAGGCUGGUCUUGCUUUUGUUGGUAAGGAUGAGACAGGAAGACGUAUGGAGAUUAUUGAGCUGCCUGCUCAUCCAUACUUUGUCGGUGUGCAAUUUCAUCCGGAAUUCAAGUCCAGACCUGGAAAGCCUUCUGCUGUUUUCUUAGGACUCAUAGCGGCGUCGUGCAGACAACUGGAUUCUUGGCUACAGGCUCGUCCUUCAAGUAAUGGUUUCUUGACCCCCAAAAUCUACCAAAAUGGGAGCCUGAAGAAAUCCCCCAAGAGCCUAGUCAACGGCAAAUCCAUUCAAGCGGCAACGGCGUGCAUGUCUAAUGCGUAAACCGGUUUUUCCGUGUGUCGUUCCUUCAUGAUCUUGUGGUUUUUUCUUGUCAGCUUCGUCCUUCCUCGGUCUGAUUUGCUCUGUGCAGUCGUCGUGAGGUGAAAAGGUUCACCGACCGAUGGACUGGUGCUUGUUCCAGUGUUUUAGCAAGGAGCAGCAUUGUGUUCUUGCGGUUUGAUUUCCUUGAGAGAAGAAGAUGAAUACAGCAAGGUUUUGUAAAUCGCUAGCGCCGACUGUUAUUUGACUUUGUAUGAUUUGAUGACUAGUGUUGAUGAUUGUCUA